GGACAAGAAUGUACGUCUCUCCAUCUGAUGACCAAAGUACAUACCUCACCGGUGAGAUGUGUGCUGAUGAACUCAUUGACAGUCAUGAGCUUUUGGGACCACUCCUCAUCUGUGUACUUGGAACCCACUUCCACGGGCACCGUUCGGCAGCCGGCAAUUUUCUGAAUAUACUCCACACUGGAAAGAGGAAAGGUCUCAUCACUGUCAUCAUCUUUGCUAACAUCCAUGGACACUAUUCAAUGG